UUAAUAGAUGCAGACUAUUGCCUUUGGAAUGUAUAAGCAAUGAGAUCUUGCUCCAUAGAACCGGGAACUGUAUCUAGUCACUUAUGAUGGAGCAUGAUAAUGUGAGAAAAAGGAAUGUAUACAUGUAUGUGUGACUAGGUCAACUUGCUGUAAAGUAGAAAAUUGACAGAACGCUGUAAUCCAGCUACAAUGGAAAAAAAAACAAAAAUCAUUAAAUUAAAAAAAAAAAGAGGAGUUCCCGUCGUGGCGCAGUGGUUAACGAAUCCGACUAGGAACCAUGAGGUUGCGGGUUUGAUCCCUGCCCUUGCUCAGUGGGUUAAGGAUCCGGCGUUGCCAUGAGCUGUGGUGUAGGUUGCAGACGUGGCUCGGAUCCGGCGUUGCUGUGGCUCUGACGUAGGCUGGCAGCUACAGCUCCAAUUAGACCCCCUAGCCUGGGAACCUCCAUAUGCCGCGGGAGCGGCCCAAGAAAUGGCAAAAAAAGACAAAAAAAAAAUUUUUUUUUCUAUGAUAUUUAAACUAUUUGCCUCUAAACUGGGUAGCUUAAAACAACAGAAAUUUAUUCUAGAGUUCUGGAGAUUAGAAGUCCAAAAUGAGCUUCCUGGAAUAAAGGGGUCAGCAGGACUGUGCUCCUUCCAGUGGUUCUAGGUGAGAAUCUCUCCCAGCUUCUGGUAACUCCUGGAAUUCUUUGGCUUGUGGCUUCAUUUCUCCAGCCUUUAAAGCCAGCAUCUUCAAAUCUUUAAAGCCCGUCUCUAUUCUCCCUUCACAUAGCCUCCUCUCAAUGUAUAAAAUCUCCCCCUCCUUUCCUCUUAUAAGGAUAUGUGUGACUGCAUUUAGGGCCUAACUGGGGGCGUCUGGCUAAUCUUUUUAUGCAAGAGCCUCAACUUAAUCACAUUACAAAGACUCUUUUUUCAAAUAAGGUAAGAGUCACAGGUUUUGGAGAUUAGGAUAGGGAUAUAUUUGGGGGGGGUCAUUGUUUAGGCUACCACAAACAUUAAAAAAAUUUUAGUACAUUUAUAUAUGAUGCAUAUGUACAUACAUAAAUUCAUAAAUAAAAAAAAUCUACUUUUUUUUUUUUUACCGUGGUCAUUACUGCAAUGUUACAGCUGACUUUGAACUCCUCAUCAUAUAUCUCUAUAGCAGUUCUUGAAUAAUAAAUACAUAAUACUCAUGUAAGAUGUUAAUAUGUGAGAAAAAAAAGUCAGGGAGAAAGAUUUCGUACUUUGGCUGAUGUACAUUUGAGACCCACUAGUUCCAAGUCUUUCAUUUCAAAUAUAAACACCAGGCACCUCUCCAAUUAAAUGACACCAACAUUUAUGUUGUUUCCUGGAAGACAUAUGUGUGCUGCAAAUAUGCGGCUACCCGGAGCCAAAAGCUCAGGGGCUGGAGAGAGGUUUUGCCGGGUUCCACAGCAACGAGGAAUGGUGUUAAACCCAACCUCAAGAACCAUUUUUUCUCAAUCAUGUGGCAUAUCUAUUCUUCCCUUCUGGCUUUUUUAUUUUACUCAGAUUCCUGGAUAUGACUAUACGCUAGAUUAGGACACAACAGUUAAAUGGGAUAUUAAAGACCAUUGGGUCCAAUCCCAGUCUGAUACAGCUUAGGGCAUCCGAAAGGACCGAACAGGUGAUGAUGAUUCCCAAGGCAGCUGAGGCAAGACUUGACCCCGGAGCUCCUGACCCCUGAUAUCUAGAGCAUUCUACACUAUUCUUUAAUCCACAAAUCUCUGCCCCUCAAUACUCUAUACUUUGGGAAAUCCCGGCAGCAGCAAUGUUCGAGAAGCAGGAAAAAUAGGGUGAUUGAAACACAGAGGAAAGUAAAAAAUGAGUUGGAGAGCUGGUGGUAGCAAAGCCUCAUUCUGAGUGAGGCAUCAAGUGUUGUCAAAGGAAAACUCUGAGCCAGAGAGACAGACAGAGUCGUGGGUUAAAGGUCAGUGAUAGGAGGAGCACUGGCCUGGCCCCCCUCUCUGUGUGUGUGGUGGGGUGGGGGCAGGAAGAGGGCAGUGUUGCCCUCAGGGGCACCUGGGGGCUGAAUCUUGGAGCAGAAUGUGGGAGCUUAUGCCAGUGAGGCCAAGGGCAGGCUCAAUGUCCCAGUCACUGGAAGGUACCUUCCCCUGCUUGAAGACUUCCAAAGAGUCCCCAUUUCAAUGAAUCAAAAUUAAUUAAUCUGACACUUUGCCACAAUACAAAUAUGGCUCCUUCCUCUCUAACCUCAGCUCUUAGUACUACCCAGCCCACCCCAUGUAUCCCCCCACCCUGUUCUAGACACCCUGGCCUUCUUUCCAUCCCUCAAGAAAACCAAGGUCAUUCCUUACCCAGGGGCUUUGAACUUGCUAUUCCUUCUGCCCGGAACAGUCUUUUCCCAGAUCCUUUUCAUUCUCAGGUCCUAUUUAUCUUUCAUUUCUCUUCUUUUUUUAAAAAAAAAUUUACUUAUUUAUUUAUUUUAUUAAAGUGUCAUUAUGCCAAUUUAUGUUAUAUAGCAUAGUGACCCAAUAUUUAUAUAUAUUCUUUUCCUCAUACUACUUUCUAUCAUGUUUUAUCCAAAGAGAUUGGAUACAGGACAGUGUGCUGGACAGUAGGACCUCAUCGCCCAUCCAUUCUAAAUGUAAUAGUUUACAUCUACCAACCCCAAACUCCCCAUCCAUCCACUCCCUUCCCCCAUCCCCUUGGCAACCACAAGUCCAUUCUCUAUAUCUAUGAGUCUGUUUCCAUUUUGUAUAUAGGUUCAUUUGUGCCAUGUUUUAGAUUCUACAUACAGGUGAUAUCAUAUGACAUUUGUCUUUCUAUUUCUGACUUCACACAGUAUGAUCAUCUCUAGUUGCAUCCAUGUUGCUGCAAAUGCCAUUAUUUUGUUCUUCUUUAUGGCUGAGUAGUAUUCCAUCAUAUAUAUGUACCACAUCUUCUUAGUCCAUUCAUCUGUCAAUAAGACAUUUAGGUUGUUUCCAUGUCUUGGCUAUUGUGAAUAGUGCUGCAAUGACCAUAGAGGUGCAUGUAUCUUUUUGAUCAUUCCUCUUCUUAACCAACACAGAAAGGCCCUCCCGGGGCAUUCAAUCAAAAUUGACCCCCUCCUUCUCCUGGUUAUAAUCCAAAACCCUGUUUAUUUUCUUCAUGGCACUUAUCACCAUCCAUUAUUAUGCAGUUAGGUUUUUUUUUCCCUAUUAAACCGUAAGCUCCAUGAGAACAGAAACUUUAUUCUCCUCAUUGUCCCAAAUCCUAGAGCAUUGCCUGACAUAGAGUGGGUGCUGAGUAAAUAUUUGUUGAAUACAUCAAUUACUAAGUCUCCCAGAUUCAUUUCCAGGGCAGGCAACAUAUGACACUUGGGCUGAUAUCCGCAGCCACUGAAUGGAUGAAUCAAUGUAGCUGUUGGAGUGUCUCUAAAAAGUCGAUCACAGUCACAGGAAAUUGUGUGUGUGUGUCCCAGCUACCCAGUUCCCAGCCCCACUGGACCUUUGGGAUUUCUGCACUGUCCUAUAGAGGUCACUUGCUCACAGGGAUCUCUCUGAUUCCUCCCUCAGGACAAGGGGCCUCUCCUUUGGACAGUGUUACAGAGGGUUGGUGUAUAUUGGCUCUUACAGAAGCUGAAGGGCCCCCUCUGGCUCUGCUCCUUCAAAGGGUUGCCCAGAUUGCAAGUUCUAAUGGACUAUCCUGGUUGGGAAUUAAGAAAUGCAGUUUUGUUUGUUUGUUUAUUUGUUUUAAAUCUGUUCUCCCUGCCCAAGAAUCCUCCUCCUGCCUUGGAACCUUGUUCCUCUGUGUGUUUAAUGGUUAAAUGAGUGCCCUCUCACCCCCUGCCCGGAGGUAGGUGCUAGCCGUGGCUGAAUACCUAUAGAUCUCAGACAUACGUGAGGUGCUUAAACAACAUGAAAUUACUUGAUCCUUACAGCAUUUGGAAAAGGUGGACAUCACCAUUUUAUAGAUGAGAAAACUGAGAUGGGGUUGCCCAAGCUAUCAAGCUAGGAUAUUUUAAAGUCAAGGCAUAAACGUACAUCUUCCUGAUCCCGAAACCAGAACGCUGUCCGUGGUGCCAUGUUGGAAUGAAAUGAGAGGAAAGAACUGCCACCUUCCAGAAUAAGCCCUGUUAUUCACCAGGCCAACAGGAACACCCUGCCCAGAUGGCCCCGCAGAGCUCAACCCUCCCGCCGCCGCCUGCAGAUCUCCAGCUGUCACUUAGACAAAUUGGCUACUGGGUCAGGAGUAUUGGCAGUGAACGCCCCCAUCUCAUGACAAUCCUUAGACGAACACAGAUUGAUGUGGAGAGGCGGGCUGGACUGUUCCUAGUGAGAGAACACUGAUGGGGGAUGGCUGAUUGCCAUCUUAAUCCAAAGGCUUUCUAGCCAGUUAAGUGACUUGCAAAUACUUCACUCUGACAAUCCUUCAUGAUCGAGUUGGUUCAAAUCUAUUAGCCAGAGUAGGGCUGCAAAGAAUAUAUCAGCAUAGAGUGAUGGCUGACCCUGACCAGGUGGGCCUCUCUACUGUGUCAAGGUGCUCAAACUCCACAUUGAACUCAUUUCUAACCACGAUAGACCCCAGAACCAACACCUUGCUGUUCAGCCUAUAGUUCUGGAGAUAGAUUCAGACCUAUUUCCUUUUUCUCCAGGGGAGUGAAUUGGGCUGAGCAGGAU
rnacentral:lncRNA from 1 species